rnacentral:rRNA from 1 species
GGGGGGGGGGGGCGGGGGGGGUGGGGCGGGGAGGGCGAGCGGGGGGGCGCUGCGUGCGGGGGGGGCGGGUGGCGAACGGGCGGGUAACGCGUGGGUGGUCGGCCCGGCACUUCGGGAUGGGCCUGGGAAACUGGGUCUAGUACCGGAUAGGCGCCAUUUUUAGUGUGAGGGUUGGAAAGUUUUUUCGGUGUGGGAUGAGCUCGCGGCCUAUCAGCUUGUUGGUGGGGUAAUGGCCUACCAAGGCGGCGACGGUUAGCCGGCCUGAGAGGGUGGACGGCCACAUUGGGACUGAGAUACGGCCCAGACGCCUACGGGAGGCAGCAGUGGGGAAGAGUGCACGAUGGGCGCAAGCCUGAUGCAGCGACGCCGCGUGGGGGAUGACGGCCUUCGGGUUGUAAACUCCGUUCGCUAGGGACGAAGCGUUUUGUGACGGUACCUAGAUAAGAAGCACCGGCUAACUACGUG